UUGCUUAUACAUGCAGUCGAGCGGACAGAUGGGAGCUUGCUCCCUGAUGUUAGCGGCGGACGGGUGAGUAACACGUGGGUAACCUGCCUGUAAGACUGGGAUAACUCCGGGAAACCGGGGCUAAUACCGGAUGGUUGUUUGAACCGCAUGGUUCAAACAUAAAAGGUGGCUUCGGCUACCACUUACAGAUGGACCCGCGGCGCAUUAGCUAGUUGGUGAGGUAACGGCUCACCAAGGCAACGAUGCGUAGCCGACCUGAGAGGGUGAUCGGCCACACUGGGACUGAGACACGGCCCAGACUCCUACGGGAGGCAGCAGUAGGGAAUCUUCCGCAAUGGACGAAAGUCUGACGGAGCAACGCCGCGUGAGUGAUGAAGGUUUUCGGAUCGUAAAGCUCUGUUGUUAGGGAAGAACAAGUACCGUUCGAAUAGGGCGGUACCUUGACGGUACCUAACCAGAAAGCCACGGCUAACUACGUGCCAGCAGCCGCGGUAAUACGUAGGUGGCAAGCGUUGUCCGGAAUUAUUGGGCGUAAAGGGCUCGCAGGCGGUUUCUUAAGUCUGAUGUGAAAGCCCCCGGCUCAACCGGGGAGGGUCAUUGGAAACUGGGGAACUUGAGUGCAGAAGAGGAGAGUGGAAUUCCACGUGUAGCGGUGAAAUGCGUAGAGAUGUGGAGGAACACCAGUGGCGAAGGCGACUCUCUGGUCUGUAACUGACGCUGAGGAGCGAAAGCGUGGGGAGCGAACAGGAUUAGAUACCCUGGUAGUCCACGCCGUAAACGAUGAGUGCUAAGUGUUAGGG
rnacentral:rRNA from 1 species